rnacentral:rRNA from 1 species
UACGUAGGUGGCAAGCGUUGUCCGGAUUUAUUGGGUUUAAAGGGUGCGUAGGCGGCUUUGUAAGUCAGUGGUGAAAUAUGGCAGCUCAACUGUCAGGGUGCCAUUGAUACUGCGGAGCUUGAGUACAGAUGAGGUAGGCGGAAUUGACGGUGUAGCGGUGAAAUGCUUAGAUAUCGUCAAGAACACCGAUAGCGAAGGCAGCUUACUGGGCUG